UCCGUGUGCCAGCCCGGGCCGCUCGCACUGCCCUCGCUGGGCUGCGAGAGCUGCGGCAUCGCCGAGCUGCUCGCAGGCUCUUGCACUCGCUGAAGACAUGGCAUUUUUCAGAGUCUCAGAUAGGCUUCCAGGGGCAUCUUUUUAAGACAGUCCAUAACAGAAUAUAAUGUUUCCAUCAGGCUCUUGCCUUGGCAACAACCUGCAGCCGUAAAGCAAGUUUAAUUCUCUGAGAGGAAGACUGGUGACAGCUAUCGUUUCACUGUGUACUGUAAUAUAUGAGAUUCUACCCUGAGAACGCUGGAGGUGGCAUUUGUCUGGUCUGGUUGUAAAUAAUGAGAUAGAUCACAAUGGAUUUCAGUUCCUCAUCCGUGUUUGACCAGCACAAAGCUGAUGCAGCAGAAGAGAUGGACUUGGCUGUGGUUUACCAAGCAGCAGCUAAUGGCGAUGUGGACACCCUGACUGCAGUGAUCCGAGAGGAUCCUUCCAUCCUGGAGUCUUGUGACAGAGAGGGUUGCACACCUUUGAUGCAUGCUGUGUCAGGACGCCAGGUUGACACAGUGAAGCUUCUGUUGAAGAUGGGAGCUAAUAUUAAUACUCAAGAUGCUUGUGGACGUACCAGUUUAUCUCUGGCAACUUAUUUGGGCUGGCUGGAAGGCUGUGUCAGCCUGCUCAGGAAUGGUGCUAAGCAGAACAUACCUGACAAGAACGGGAGGUUGCCCCUGCACGCUGCCACCGCAGAGCCUGACGUGAGGCUUCUGAGCUUGCUCCUGCAGCAGUCAAAUCUUAGUGAAAUUAAUCACCAGGACAAUGAGGGAAUGACUUCACUCCACUGGGCUGCAUUCCACAACAGACCCCAGCACACCCAGACUCUGCUGCACAAGGGAGCAGACCCGACUCUGGUGGACAAGGACUUCAAAACAGCUCUGCACUGGGCAGUACAGAGUGGCAACAGGAUUCUGUGUUCCAUCAUUCUGGACCACUGGCAGGGACCAUCAAUAAUAAAUUAUGAUGAUGAGAAUGGCAAAACAUGCAUGCACAUUGCUGCUGCUGCAGGCUACAGUGAUAUCAUCAGUGAGCUGGCUAAAGUCCCAAAGUGCAACUUGCAGGCCCUUGAUGUGGAUGACAGGACUCCUUUGCACUGGGCUGCAGCAGCAGGGAAAGCUGACUGUGUGCAGACUCUGCUAGAACUGGGAAUAGACAGCAGCCCUCGAGACAUCAAUGAAAACACUCCUCUGACAUAUGCAAUAUACUGUGGGCACACGGCAUGCAUCAAGCUGCUGACUCAGGAGAGCAGUAGAUCUGAGUCAGAUCAUCAGUUUCACUCCCAGAACAACAGACUUAUAAAGAAAGAAGGACGAUUCAGUAUGCUGAACCAGAUCUUCUCUUGCAAAAAGAAGAAAGAUGAUCAGAAAACCAGUCAGAAGGAGAGAAGCAGGGAUCAAUAUCCUGGAGAAGAGACCUCAGAAGUAGACGAUAUCAUCACCCGUUUUGAUUGCAUUAUGAAUAAAAAUUGCAAAGACAUUCCAGAUGAGCGUAAGACCACCCCUAACUUUAAAAGAAAGAGUACAGACACUAAGUACCUCAUAGCAGAAAAGAAGAAAUCAGUAUGUCAGGGACUUCCACCCAUCACCACCCAGAGCUUUCCCCCAAUCACUGCAGGCAAUUCUUUCCUAACUGCUUCCCAGAGCAAAAUGUCAAGCUUCUCCUCCAGCUCCAGUACCCACCAUUUUCCAUACAAAUCUCAAAAGAGUAGGAGUGAGCACAACUUGCUGGACAACACAGACAGCUGCCAGGCUUUGCUGGAUCAUCCCUGGAACACAAAUUCUAACCAAAGGCUCUCUUACAAAGUCUGUACUAGGACUUCUUCAGACAAACUGAUGAAUGGCUUAGACUCUGAUAAAUCUCACCAUGUGCUUUUGUGCCCUCCCUGCCUUCCCUCACUUCCUAGUUCUCCAUCAGGCUCUCUUCAGCUGUUCACUCAACCAUACAAGCUCCAGACUCCACAUGCCCAGCAAUGAUUGCUUCUGCACGACUCCUUCUACACUAAAUUCUGCAAGGUUCAGCUCACAUGUGGAACACAAGAAUACCUGCAGGGCUACUUUACAACCUCACUAUAAUAGGAUACAGCGAGUCUAAGAUAUUUGGCAUCAUUGAACUUGACAGCAGUACCAGGAAUGAGUUCAAGCUGGAUAAGCCAAGCUGGAGAACAGCUAUUUCUGGGAAAAUUUCCUGUUGGAAUUUGCUAGACUAUUAAUACAUUUGACAUGGAAGUAACUACCAUGUUAUUUAAAAUGUGAUUAUAGAUUUUUCUUAAUAUUGUAGUAUACUACAGUGCUAAGAAAAUGGCUAAAUCCUUGUCUGCUCUGGACAGAAGGAUAGAUGGUUUUCCUAGAAAAAAUGUUUCUGUGGAAAUCCUAUGACAAAAAUGUAGUUGUUAUAAUGGGAGCCAUCUUUGCAUGCCCAAAGGGAAGGAGACUUAGCUGAGGGGGCAAAAAACAACAUCCAGUUUUUGAAGACACUGAAAUGUUAAUACUUCAUUUCUCAAUUCAUGACUGGGGGGGACUAGAUGUAAUUUCCUAAUCACUGAAUAUCUAGGCCAGGAUUAUGGGUAUCAGUAAUCUAAGAAAACUCAAUUUUAAAUUUUAUUUUCUGUGUUGACACAGAGUGAUGAUUGUCCUUCAUGACCAUGUCUAUUGUCAAAGUCAAAGCUAAUUUUUAUUCUCACUUGAUACAAAGGCAGCUGGCCCAUAUAUGUGUCAAAGUCUUUGGAGGUUUUUUGUUCUGUUAUCUGUGGUCCUAGGAAUAAAAGAUGAGUCAAUUUACUAUCUGAGCUUUAACACUUACACAAAGGGGAGAGGUUGCUGAGUGUAGCAAUGAGAAUUACUUUACUACUGUGCCAUUUGUUUCUCUCAGAAUUACUGCCCUCCACUGAGAAGAGCAAAGAGAGUCUAAACUAGAAUCUGUCAAAAUUCCAUGAGAGUUUGCCACCCGCAGUACUGAGCUAGCAUCAAAAAUCUGAAGCAUUUACUUAUGAGCUUUGCAAUAAUCUCUUUUUGCAAAAUGUACUGCCAUCUACAUUCUACAGGGAAAAAUAGUGGAAGUAGAGAAUUCCAAGUGAUAUGGGUAACAGGAACCCUGUCUCAAGUAUAAGACAGCUCUGAGACCCCUAUCACCCUCUCAUCUUUUGGGUUACUAAAUUUCCAGAUGUAAGAUGAUACUUUAUUACAGGUUUUAUUACAGUACCUUCUGUUUGCUUGAAUAGAAAAUGUGAAAAAUGGACUAUUAUUAAGUUUAUGAUGGUAUGAGCAGUAUACCAUCAUAAGCAUAGUUCAACAGGAAACAUUCUUUGGCUAGGAAAGCAGAGCAAAGCUGAUCAGUGUGGCUGUCACUUUCUCAAAUUUAAGAACCAAUUUACUCUGAGACAUUCAUCAUAACAUUAACAACUUUUACACAAAAUACGCUACUAUGUGGUUCACCUUCCUAAAUACAAGGAAAAAUGAAAAAAAAUACAGCCUCUAAAAAGACCCAAAUGCAGUCCUGCAUUUUUUAAGAAUGAAAUUGCUUUCUUUCCAUUUAUUCAGAAAUAACUGCAAUUAUAAAUGUGCUCUUGGGGACAGCAAAGAUGAUGUCUCAGAGAGAGAAAAACUAUUUUUCCAGAUGUUAUGCUAAACAGAUAGAAAGGAAAAGUAGAAAACUUCCACUUGAUGCCAAAAGUUUUAACAAGGAUUCUUUUCCAAGCAUUCACAUUAUACUUGCAACCACGAUUAUGUUUUGAUUGUUUUGCUGACAGAUAUCCCAUUUAAGAAAUGAAUAUAUCUCUUGAUAGCAACAACAACCUGCCAUCAUCAAAGCCAUAAUGGUACGCACACAAUAAGCCAUUAGUUCUCAGCAUAAGCAUCACAGAAACCAAUAUAACUUGAAUUUCUCUAAUGAGAGCAACAAACAAUUCUCUGCUAUAUUGGAAUUGAUAUAUUUAGUCCUUUGUGCAAAGUGCAUGCAAGGUCUAUAGAAGAAAUUUACCAACUAGACACUAGAGAUGUUAAAGAGUAAACACAGGGAAACCAAACUGAAGUCUGUUUCUGUAAAGCAGAGCUCAGCCAUACAAGAUUCUUCAUGCUUUAGCUCAGACACAUCAGCUUAACCACAGGAUCCAGCAGACCAACCCAAUGUGUAUCAACUGUUGUGGCUUUUAGACCAGAGCCUUGCUCCGUGCUGAGCUGAAGGCUGCACUGUAACAUGGUGGUUUGCCUGACCAACACCACAGUAACUCCUUUCACACAGAAUCAGUUCAGUCAUCAGCAGAGUUACAGCAGCCCUGACAGCUACUUUUGUGCACCUUUAGAAAACUUUUAGAAAACUGUUUUUCUACAGCUUUAUCUUGCAAAGCCCAACAACACAUAGGUAUUUUCAAGUACCAGCUGCAAAUCCACAAAGGCAGUUAAUGUCAUUCCAUCUCUUCCUCCUGCUUAGGAUGUCCUGCUACAUCCACCCUGUGUCUCCCCUUGUCUCUGUGUGCUGACAGAGCAUAUGUCUGCUCUUCAAUGAGCUAUAUUGCAAAGCCAUGCUGGAUGAGCAGCUGCUUGCCAAAACGUCUCAUUACAUGGCUCAUUGCAGAUUUGGUAAUAACAAGAAAAAUUAUUUGAGUUACUCAAGCAUCACAGAAUAAGAUCGGCUCAGGAAAAAGAUCUGGUAAAAAGGUUGACUUUGUGCUUGAGUUUCUACUUUUUCAGUAUUAGACGUGUCUUUAUGUGAUGAAAUCCAUUACAUCUUCUAAUAUACUGUCUUUUUAAGUAGUAUUAGACCUAAGUUAACUUAGGCAUGUCUUAACCAUGUGACAUGCCAGAAUUAACCAAUUAACCUUUCCUUUUCCAGUAUAUACUCUUCUGUCAUAAACAUAACUUAACAACUGCAUAAACAUAGUUUAACAAGGAUCAGUAUAGCCUUCUAUCAGUUGUGAUAUGCUUUCAUCUGCAACAAAACCCUCUCAAAGCUCAUCUUUACUGCUAAUAGCUUUCAAUGUCCUUUUCCAACCAGCAGUUGAACUCUGUUUUUGUUUUAAUAUUUACAAAGGCUGAGACCCUGUCAGGACAUUUUGAAAACUAAAGCUUCAAUUUUUAAAUCAAAUCAUCUAUUUGAAUAAUUUUACAGAUUUAGAGUCCAAAGAUUCUUAGAGAGACCUAGCUAAUAAACUGUGCCCAUUUUAAGACCUAAAGCUAUAUUAUACUAGAGGAAAAUAUAAAAGUAUAUGUGAGGGUUGUACUAAAUCAACCAGUCUUUCUUAUGAGCAUAAAGUGAACUAAGCAACAGCUUCUUUUUUUCAGUCAGUGGUUUCUUGUUAUUGCAUAUUUCUGAGAAAUACUAGGUAAGUUUUCUUUUCUGGAAGCCAGAAAUGCACAGUGCACCGCACUAGUUACAAUUACUUCCAUAAUAAUUUUCUUUUUCUUUCACAGGUAGAAGUUUUCGACAGAUGUCCAUGGACCAAUACAAAAUGAAAAAUGUUAUUCCUUGGCAGAACAGCCUAGCUCCAAUACCCAACCACAGUGCUCACAAAACAUUGUAGAAUGGCUGAGGUAGGAAGACACCUUUGGAUUCUGUCUGUCCAUCCUCAUGUCCACAGAGAAGUCACCUACAGCACAUUGCCUACGUUCACACCAGUUUUGUUUUAAAUAUCUCUGAGAAUGGAGAUUGAGACUACACACUUUCUCUGGGCCAUCUCUUCCAGUGGUUGACUACCCUCAGAGGAAAAAGUUUCUUAGUAAUUAUUUGUGGCCAUUGAUUCUUUUCCCUCCGUAGGACUCCACUGAGAAGAGUCUGUCUCCUUCUCCAUUACUCUGCACAAUCAAACAUUUAUAGAUAUUGACAAGAUCCUUUGAGCUGCUACUCUUCUUGAGGCUGAACAGUCCCAGCACAGUCAGUCUCCCCUUUAAGGCUGACACUCCAACCCUUGAGUCAUCUCCAUUGCCCUCCACUGGAUUUGUUUCAGUAUGUCCCCCUCCCUCUGUAUACCGGGAGCUUCAGAACUGGACUCAGAACUCCAAGUGUGUCUCACCCAAGCUGAGUAGAGGGGAAGAAUCACCUGUCGCAAUCUGCUGGCGUUGUUCUUCCUGGUGCAGCCCCAGAUGCUGUUGGCUCUAUUUCUGCAUGGGCACAUUGCUGGCUUGCAUUCAGCUUGGGAAAGCAGUGGUCCCAAAGAGCAGGAGAGCUUCAUCCCACUCCCAGAGUCCCAGCAGAGUGUCAAGACUGUGAUUGUCCCAGGCUGGAUCAAGCCAGCAACUGGAGUUUUCUUCACAUGUAGCCCUAGUCUCAGCAGUCCUAACCUCACAUUCUUGUGCUCCACAAAGCACAGAUCUCCAUUGUAUACUACAUGAGGAUUUACAGUUUACUGACUGUCAUCCUGUGGAUCAGCCAGGCGCAAAAGCAUUCAGACCUAAAUUUAAGAUUCCUUGCCACUUAAAAUCUGAAUGUCAGAAGAAAUCCUGACAAUAUUGCUAGAAAUGAGGCAGAGGCAGCCUUACAGGGUUGUAUUGGAUGGGUAUGUACAGAAUCCUGCACUGCUGUUGUUUUCUACAUUAAACAGAAAGAAGAAAAGCUGUUUGAAUUACUGAGGUCGUAUUCUCUCUCUGCUCAGAAGGAAGAAAAUAAUUUAAUUGGUUUUGAUUGCUUUUAAAACCCCAGGUCCAAGCAUUCUGUUUUUUAAGCUUUCUACUCAUGUUCUCUGUGUCUUCCAGUUAAAUCAUAGUUGUAAGCAAAAUCCUUUAAAAAAUCUUUCAUAAUAAUUUUUGCUCUUGCAUUAAUUCUUACAAGUGGUUAAGAAUUUAGUUCUAGUCUCAUGCCAAAAAUUGUCUUGCAAAUAAGAUACAAUUGUCAUAAUUAAGAAUCGCUGGUUUAUUAACUAACACAGCCCAUUUAUCCAGGUGCCAUUACUGCUUGAACAUUAGUUCAAGCCAGUAACAGAAAAGCAAAAUUAUUUGCAAAAUAGAUUGUAUUUCUUGUUAACACAAAUUACAUAUUUGCUCAUGAAGCUUUCUAAAUAAUUGUUUCAGAGUCUCAUCUCAGUAUGAGAUUUCACUCAUCCUCCAUCCAGCCCUAAAAGUAUUACCUUUUUGGACAUAGCCUUUAUCCAGAUAAAGUGCUUAAGCAACAAAGUCUGAGUAUAAAUAUCUGUGUUUUCUCUAGUAUUUUUAAUACACAAGAUGUGUGUUUAAAAUACACCAAGAAAAAAAAAAAAAAAAACCAAACCACUACCAAGAAGUUGGAACAAUAAAAUAAGCAAAAACUAGAAUGAGAACUGAAACUACUCAGAGAUAGAGAAAGAAGAAGUAUCUCUCCCAAAAAAGGAAGGUCAAUUAAAAAAGAAGGAAGAAAUUAUUAAAUCUCUCAGUAAAAACGUUUUAAAAUACACAUUACAAAGAGGAAAAUAGGAAUGAAACAGUAGCCUGGGAAGAGUACUUGAGUGAUUUUAAACAAUAAAAUUCUCACCCUUCAGAUAUUCCCAAGGCCAGAGAUCCCUCCCAUGACUUCUUGAGUAGCUUCAGCACAGACUGCAUCUCCUAUUCUGCAUGCUGCUGCUUCAUCCCCCACACAGUCUUUCCAUCUUAUCAUGCAACAUUUCCAACAACCCCUGGAAAACAGACUGUCACACAGUCCUCACAAAAUGCCAGAAUAAAUCUUCAAACAAAUAUGGGACUACUAGAGAACUCUCUGCUUCUCUCACUUCUUCAUGUAGUUAAGAAGGUCAGAUAUUUCUGGAAACAUCAGAGGAGACAACAUGUGUCUGAUGCACAAAAAGGUGACAUUAUUAGUUGCUGAUAAAAAAACCACAACAACAAAUUUAAAAAACAAACUUAAAAUCUAUUUCUACAGGUCAUUUAACAAUAUUUUCUGGAGAUCUGUGGUUGUUUUUUGCCAUUAUUCAUUAUGAUUUGAUGUUUCAUCUUUCCCAAGUUAACAGCAAAGCAUUCCACAAAGCACCAGCAUCACUGCAGAAGGCCACUGUUGUCCACUGCUUGCAGAGGGGUGUCUAAGACCCAUUCUUUAGCUGGACUCCAUACUCCUUGGGCAAUGCCUUUCUGACAGCCUUAUUUUUGCCUCUGCAGUUUGUAAUAGCAGCCACUCCAGAGUCUCUACUGAGUGGAAAAGGCUUCUUGAACCAGUAGCUCCUACUGUUCGGGUCUUUGGUGACCGACUCUGCCCUCUGUGUGUGAAUCAUUAAUGGUGCUUUUCCUGUAUGUAGCUUCUGGGGCAUUAAGGCCUCCCACAGAUCCCAGCCCCGGGUCCAGGCUCAGGUGUUUCAAUACAUGUACUAAUACUAGUCAUUAUAUGCAUUGUUUCAGAGCCAUCCAUGUACCAGCCCUGAAAUCCUAAAUUGAAUAUCCUAAACUGAGCGCAGUAUGUGGGACAAUGUGGAAAGCACUGAUGUUUGGAUUCUUUGAAUGAGCAUGAGUUUGUGAUGGCUGUUCUGUCAUGGAUGUGAAGUUAAGCUACAGUGGUUUUGGCCUACUUGAGUCCAUCAUUUAAAGUUUUUAAUGAUGUACAUAAAGUACAUAAAGCUUUAUAGAUAUUUUUCACACAGAUGUGAACUUUGAAUAUAUUAACAUAUGACAGUGUUCCAAAGAGGGACACAAGUGAGCGUCUCAACAUUUGCUGAAGGCACACCAAAAUUUCAGUGAACUCAAAGCAUUCUACCAUGUGCCAGAAAACAAAUGGGCUAAUUUAUUGUAUAUAGCCCCACCAGACUCACACAAAUUCAGCACCAACUAAAGCAAAGUGUUAAUGGUUUGGGUGUUUUUCGUGGAAAAGAGAAGUGAUUUAUUGAAUUUCUGAACAUGAAUGAAUCUAAAAUAUGACCCAUUACAGUACACUCCUAGAGGCCAGGCAGUUUUAGUAAACACUGUCUGCUCAGGUAAUCACAACUUGAAUAGUAAUUGAAAUUAGCUUAAAAAUAAAAGAAUCUACCAAGUUUCUAAAUCCUCACUAUAAAGAUCCUACUUUGCCCUAAAUCCAUACCUGGUAAGCUUUAGAAAAGUACUGCUCCUGAAAAAUAAAUAAUCAAUUAUUAAAUUAGUAUAAGGUGCAUGCUACAGGGGAUUAUGAUGAGAACUUCAGCCUCUUUUGUACCAUGUGUAUAGUUAAGAUAGAUAGAUAGACAGAUAGAUAGAUAGAUA